GACGUAGGGCGCGAGCGUUGUCCGGAUUGAUUGGGCGUAAAGAGCUCGUAGGCGGCUCGUUGCGUCGGCUGUGAAAACCCGCGGCUUAACUGCGGGCUUGCGGUUGAUACGGGCGGGCUAGAGUUCGGUAGGGGAGACUGGAAUUCCUGGUGUAGCGGUGAAAUGCGCAGAUAUCAGGAGGAACACCAGUGGCGAAGGCGGUCGUCUGGGCAGAUACUGACGCUGAGGUGCGAAAGCGUGGGGAGCAAACAGG
rnacentral:rRNA from 1 species